UACGAAGGGGGCUAGCGUUGUUCGGAAUUACUGGGCGUAAAGGGCGCGUAGGCGGUCCUGAUCGUCGGAUGUGAAAGGCCUGGGCUCAACCUGGGAACUGCAUCCGAUACGGCGGGACUGGAGUGUGGGAGAGGUUGGUGGAAUUCCCAGUGUAGAGGUGAAAUUCGUAGAUAUUAGGAAGAACACCAGUGGCGAAGGCGGCUCACUGGUCCGGUACUGACGCUGAGGUGCGAAAGCGUGGGGAGCAAACAGG
rnacentral:rRNA from 1 species